GACGUAGGGCGCGAGCGUUGUCCGGAUUUAUUGGGCGUAAAGAGCGUGUAGGCGGCCAGACAGGUCCGUUGUGAAAACUCGAGGCUCAACCUCGAGACGUCGAUGGAAACCGUCUGGCUAGAGUCCGGAAGAGGAGAGUGGAAUUCCUGGUGUAGCGGUGAAAUGCGCAGAUAUCAGGAAGAACACCUAUGGCGAAGGCAGCUCUCUGGGACGGUACUGACGCUGAGACGCGAAAGCGUGGGGAGCGAACAGG
rnacentral:rRNA from 1 species